rnacentral:ncRNA from 2 species
GACGUGGUCACUUGACUACGGGCUUCUAUAGGCUGAGCCCGACCCGCAACGGGGAAGCCGGUGGAAAUCCGGCGCGGUCGCGCCACUGUGUCGGGGAGACCCGGAGUCAGACCCUCGUUGCCGUACCGCCACAC